rnacentral:ncRNA from 1 species
GCCAUCAAGCACGGGAGCUCAGUCGAGCUGAGAAGGAUGUGAAUCCUGACCGUUGAACGUGAUUUCCAGAUAAUGCUGGCGAACGAAGUUUUGAUAUCGGUGCCC